GAAAGUCAGGAGAGAAUGGAGCCAGCUAAGAAGAGGAGGAUGUCCUCCCCUGUGUGGGAACAUUUUGAUCUUAUUCCUCCCAACAAGGUGAAGUGUUUGCUAUGUGCCAGGGAGCUGGGAUAUAACAACAACACCUCAUCCAUGCUUAGGCACUACAGAGCUUUGCAUGAGAAUAAGGGGGACACCGAUUGUGGAGCAAGACCAGGAGAACAAUCUCAAAUAGAUGAAGACCUGGUUACCAUGGUGAUUGAGGACUCCCAGCCAUUUAGCAUUGUGGAGGACAAAGGAUUCAAAAGAUUUGUUAAAUCAUUAAAUCCUAGCUAUGUUCUCCCCACUAAAAAGGUCAUAAAAGCAGUGAAAAUUUAGUUUUUACAGAAUAAAAUGUGAACGGGCAGGACUGAGGCUCAAAGCCUCAGUGUGUAGCUGUCCAUACCUCAACGUUACAAAAGCACAACUACUGUCCACACCCCAACCACACCUCACCUCACAGUAAAUGAUCAUUUCCAUUUCAAGCAUUUCCAAAUAAUCAUUUCCCAUACUGCCACUAUAAAUAUACACAGUAUACUGCCAUCACUACAAUAUACAUGUUUUACACACUCCUUUUGUUGUUGACAUUUACAGGCUGUGUGCAAAAUGCCACACUCUUCAA
ensembl:lncRNA